GCGCGAGGCCCUUUGAUGGACUGCACCAAAUUAGUACCUUUUGCCUUAGAAUAUUGCAGGGAUCCGUGAAUUAUUAAUUGCUCUGGGUCAAACACACGCCAUCAUCCACUUGUCUACCUCUUGGUGUCAACAGAGGGGGAGAAAAAAGAAAGAAAAAUUGAAACGGAAAGAAAUUGUUGAAAUAGAAGACAGAAAAUGAGCAGAAGAUGGAAUAAGAUCAAGGGAAACUAAAGGAAACAAAAAUCAAGAGCAGAAGAGAAAAAAGGAACCAGAGAUAUAGAAAAAAAAAAAAAAAGAAACAAGGAAAAAGUAUAACUCGGGAGACAGAUAGAAAGAGGAAAAGGAGUCAUAAGCACAUCCAGUCGCACACACUCACCAUGGCCCUAAGGAAUCUUGUGGACGCCCAGUGUGGGGAAGGCAAUGCACUGGUCCGCCUCACGCAGCAUGUCAUGCGCGACAAGUCCCUGGCGGACGAGGGCCUCCGCUGGCCCCAGGGACGUCCUCCAGCCCAAGAAGGGGCCUUCAAAGUGCAGUACGGGCCGACCCUCGUGGGGGACCAGUUAGUUGAGGAGUUCAUGACAGAAACACAGCAGGCAGCCACAGCAGCUCCCCAGGCCUUCAGGAUGGACUCGUUACUUCAGGAAAUGCGUGAGAUUGAGAGCAUGCGGGCCAGAGCAGGACCCAUGAGGGGGCCGGGCAUUGCUGACCUGGCAUCGGAAGCAAGCAACUGGGCUGAAGAAUACCUAGCCUCAGAAACACAUGUCCAGGACAUCGGCCCUGUAGGAGACUGGACCAAAGAAUUCCUCGAGCAGCAGCACGGCCUCACAUCCCCCGAUAUAAUAACAGAUAAUGACACCAAGUGGGCCCACGAGUACUUGAACGACAGUCUUCUAGAUGAGGCAGCUAGCUCGGAGGCAAGCAAGUGGCUGGAGGAAUAUAACCCGCAGGAGGACUCUGAGCUUGCCAGGACAGCCAAUGAACUUCUAGGGACAGUGGACGAUCCCAAAUUUUCUAACACUGAGUUCAUGAAAUUCAUCAGGAAGCUCGGGGAGGGGUCGAAGGGCGAGGUCUCCAAGGACUGGACGGAAGAGUUCCUCUCGGCCAACGCCGGCAGGACCUCAGCCGAGUCCUGGAGCACAGAAUUCACCAAGGGACAGCAACAGCAGCAACAGCAGCAGCCACAUGAUCGCUGGGCCGAGGAGUUUGCUCAAGCGCAGAGAUUAGGGACCCUAGAUCAUGUGAACGUGGACAGCGAGAAGAUGAGCAGCGAGGAGCGGGAGGAUUUCUGGCAGAACCUGAAGGAGGAGUGGGAGAAGAUGGCCCGUGAGGAUGACUUGGAGGAACACCCUUGGCUCUCGGAAUUCAAUUCAUCCUCACUUGAACCUUUUAAGGAUUACAAAUUUGAGGAGGACAACCCCCUGAAGGACCACCCGGACCCCUUGACAGAGGGCAAAAAGUGCCUGGAGGCGGGAGACCUUCCCUCAGCUGUGCUCCUCUUUGAGGCUGCCGCACAGCAGAAUCCACAGAAUCCUGAAACAUGGCUGCUGCUCGGGGCUGCCCAUGCUGAGAAUGAGCAGGACCCUGCUGCAAUAUCAGCACUUAGGAGAUGUGUAGAACUUGACCAAAAUAACAGUGUGGCUUGGAUGGCUCUAGCGACAUCGUAUACUAAUGAGUCUUACCAGACACUGGCUUGUAAUGCACUCAAGGAGUGGAUCCGCACCAAUCCUGAGUAUGCCCAGUUAGUCCCAAAAGGUGACACAUCACAAAGGAAGUCAAAGUUAAUGACAUCAACUCUUGCACCAAGAGCACUGAUCCAGGAGGUGCAAGACCUCUAUCUGGCUGCUGCCAAUCAGCGGCCAAGUGAGAACAUCGAUGCGGACGUGCAGUGUGGCCUUGGUGUACUCUUUAACCUGACAGGCGAGUACGACAAGGCCCUCGACUGCUUCCAGGCAGCCUUGAGCGUCCGGCCGAAGAGAGGCCAUGGAGCACUUCCUGGAGGCCCUGAACAUGCAGGCAGCUGGUCGAGGGCCCGGAGGGGAGGGCUCCACGCGAGCUGUGUCUGACAAUAUCUGGUCCACCCUGAGGGUCUGUCUGUCGUCCCUAGGAGCAACACACCUCAUGGAUGCUGUUAGUAAGAGAGACUUAACUCGACUGAAUGCCGAAUACAACAUGGGCACGUCGAGCUGACUCUCCUCCCCCUACUCCCAGUCCCACCCCUCCCUCCCACCUUCCACCAUAAGCAUCCGCAAAGCCUUCCCACCGCUGCUUACCCCCACCACUACCACCUCUGCCUCCCCUCCCACAAGGACAACAGAGUCGUUCCUGUGCAGUGUCCACGAUAAUUUGCCCUGUGAGUGCCUUCACCCACCCAGGCUGAUGUCAUUGGUGCCUCACUCUGACAGACGACGAGAAAGCUAAUGUGAAGUCAUUAAGGCUCUUAGCUGCUGUUGUCCAUUUUAUGGUUGUGAGUGCUCUUUCACUCAGCUUGUUGGCUGGCUGAGUGGGUCUCAGGUCUCAGCACAGAGAGGGAGACCUGGAGAUCUUCAGGGAUGAGAGAGAGAGAGAGAGAGAGAGAGAGAGAGAGAGAG
rnacentral:misc_RNA from 1 species